GGGCUCGCUUUGGCAGCACAUAUACUAAAAUUGGAACGAUACAGAGAAGAUUAGUGUGGCCCCUGCGCAAGGAUGACAUGCAAAUUUGUGAAGUGUUCCAUAUUUAA
rnacentral:snRNA from 1 species